rnacentral:tRNA from 1 species
UCCCUAGUGGCUCAGAUGGUAAAGAAUCUGCCUGCAAUGCAGAGACCUGGGUUCAAUCCCUGGGUGGGGAA